rnacentral:rRNA from 1 species
UGCCAGCCGCCGCGGUACGCCUGAUUGGGCUAGCGUUGUUCGGAAUUACUGGGCGUAAAGGGCGCGUAGGCUGUUAUGUGUGUCAGGUGUGAAAUCCCAGGGCUUAACCUUGGAAUGGCAUUUGAAACUGCAUGACUUGAGUGAGUAAGAGGCGGACGGAAUUCCGAGUGUAGCAGUGAAAUGCGCAGAUAUUCGGAGGAACAUCGGUGGCGAAGGCGGUUCGCUGGUACUCUACUGACGCUGAGGCGCGAAAGCGUGGGGAGCAAACAGGAUUAGAUA